rnacentral:rRNA from 1 species
GACGAACGCUGGCGGCGUGCUUAACACAUGCAAGUCGAACGGAAAGGCCCUUUGCUUGCAAGGGGUACUCGAGUGGCGAACGGGUGAGUAACACGUGGGUGAUCUGCCUUGCACUUCGGGAUAAGCCUGGGAAACUGGGUCUAAUACCGGAUAGGACCAUGCUUUAGUGUGUGUGGUGGAAAGUUUUUCGGUGCAAGAUGAGCCCGCGGCCUAUCAGCUUGUUGGUGGGGUAAUGGCCUACCAAGGCGACGACGGGUAGCCGGCCUGAGAGGGUGUACGGCCACAUUGGGACUGAGACACGGCCCAGACUCCUACGGGGGGCAGCAGUGGGGAAUAUUGCACAAUGGGCGCAAGCCUGAUGCAGCGACGCCGCGUGGGGGAUGACGGCCUUCGGGUUGUAAACUCCUUUCGCUAGGGAAGAAGCCUUUUGGUGACGGUACCUGGAUAAGAAGCACCGGCUAACUACGUG